CAGCAAGUGAGAUAUUAGUAUUACUCCCUUUUGCAAAAGAGGAAACUCAGGCUCAGAGAUGAGUCAUGGGACAGGUGAGGCAAGACUGGAAUCUAAACCCAAGGCUAUGGGGUUCAAGGACUAGACCCCUUCCUCUGCUCCUAGGGCCUCACUAAGCCACCUGUGUGGUAGCUGUAAUGCCAUAUGUCUCAGACACGCAGCCUGACCAGGGAAGGCCAUUAGAGUGGGGUGGACGUGGACGGCAGAGAAGAGAGUUAAAGCAGCUCAAGAUAACGGGCUAGAGAGAGUGGGGAGUUCAGGGAGCUGCUGGUUAGAUUAAGGCAGGGAAAGUGGGGAGCACGGAAGAGGUGGGAUCCUGAGUACCCUGCUUUCCUUCCCAGGGUAAUGGGGAGAGGCAUUCCCUACCCCCACUUUCAAGCAAGGGAGGUGCGUCCUCGGCCUGGGGUUUCGAGCAGGUCUCUCUGAGCAGGUCCCUUCCUGGCCAGCCGGGCUGGGGCAGGGGCGGGAUAGGGGUAGGGUGGCGCGGCGGCUGGGCGCAAAGGUCCCGCAGUGGGCCACGCAGGCGCCGGGCUGACGCGGCAAAACUUUGGCGUCUCUGAAAACCUCUGCUCACCCGCUCCUUUCUAGCGUGAGGGAGCCGGGCGGCCUCUUUCCGGCCCGGCAGUGGGACCGUCGCCGCCCGCCCCUCCCGUUGCAGCACCGCUACAGACGCGCUGACCCCGCGGCCGUGUCGCUAGGCGGCAUCCCGGAGCGGGUGGCGAGGCACUGGCACCCGGGAGCCGCGGCGACGGCACGCCGGACGGAGAAGCGCAGCGCAGGGGCGAGAGCAUGGCAUCGCCGGGACCACAGCCUGAUCUGCCUGGUUUGUUUUGGAUCUAAGCUGAAAUAAUGAUGAGUUUUGAGGAUCUGGAUGAGGACCCAGGCAAGUUUAUUACCUGUGGGUGGAAGUGGGAGGAAGAAGAUUCUUUGCGCAGACAGGUCC
rnacentral:lncRNA from 1 species